rnacentral:rRNA from 1 species
GAUGAACGCUGGCGGCGUGCUUAACACAUGCAAGUCGAACGGAAAGGCCCAAGCUUGCUUGGGUACUCGAGUGGCGAACGGGUGAGUAACACGUGGGUGAGCUGCCCUGCACUUCGGGAUAAGCCUGGGAAGCUGGGUCUAAUACCGGAUAGGACGAUGGUUUGGAUGCCAUUGUGGAAAGGUUUUUCGGUGUGGGAUGAGCUCGCGGCCUAUCAGCUUGUUGGUGGGGUAAUGGCCUACCAAGGCGUCGACGGAUAGCCGGCCUGAGCUGGUGUACGGCGACCGUGCGAAUGAGAAACGGGACAGAGUCCUAAGGCCUGCAGGAGUGAGGAAUAGUGAAUAAUGGGCGAAAGGCGGAAGCAGCGACGAGGCGUGGGGGAUGAGGGCCUUCGGCUUGUAAGCUCUUUUCGCCAGGGACGAAGCGUUUUUGUGACGGUACCUGGAGAAGAAGCACCGGCUAACUACGUG